UCUUCUUGUAUGCCUUUCCCUAUUCUCUGUACCCUAAUUUUCCCUAUUAUCUUCAUCCUCCCUCAUUUCUUGCAAACACAUCGCCAUCAUCAGACCUCAUUAACACCACACUUGAAUCUCACCACCACUGUCAUCGUCGCAUACCUCGUCCCGCCGAAACUGAAACGCAAUGUGAAUGCCGCACUUGGAGCUCACAGUGGCACCACGCCUAAGCCUCAUCAUGCGCCAGCGCACCUAUACCUAAUGGCCGUGGGCCACCGGACUCUCAUCUCGGUAGUUUGGCUCCAAUUUUGGGAAAGGUAUUGGGCCACAAAACCCACAUCUUCAAGUCUUGAGUGUUCCAUAGAAAAUCAAGAGUAUCAGAAACAAUUUUUCAAUUUGCUUACUUCGAUUAAGGAGAUGAAUCGACCAUGAGUGCCUUGGCUGGGACUGAGAUUGAAGUUAUGGUGGCUAUCCCUAAUAUCCAGCUUGUUGAGAGGAAUGGCUAUGGCAAGUGGGUUAAGAAAAAAAAUCUCGCGUUACAACUUCAAUGGGAGUGCUAAUGUCAAGUGAGUUUUGUAUUUUCUUUUUUCAAUUUCAGUUAACUGCUUCAAUUGUUAUUAUUUUAAAUCUAUUGUAAUAUGCAAUUUGUACCAAUCUUAGAUUUAAACUCAAUUUUCGUUAUUGUAUAUAAUUUGUUAACUAAGAACCUUGAAAAUUGUUAAGCUUGUUGAGAUAACAUUGAUGGCAAAUGCAAUACAGAGUUGGUUUCCCUGCCCAUUAAAUGUUGAGAUAACAACAUUUGAUGUGGUUGGCUUA